rnacentral:rRNA from 1 species
AACGAACGCUGGCGGCGCGCCUAAUACAUGCAAGUCGAGCGAGAAGACGUAGCAAUACGUUUGUAAAGCGGCGAACGGGUGAGGAAUACAUGGGUAACCUACCCUCGAGUGGGGAAUAACUAGCCGAAAGGUUAGCUAAUACCGCGUACGCUCCUUGGACUUCGGUUCAGGGAGGAAAGCGAUACCGUGGGUAUCGCGCUCUUGGAUGGGCUCAUGUCCUAUCAGCUUGUUGGUGAGGAACGGCUCACCAAGGCUUCGACGGGUAGCUGGUCUGAGAGGACGAUCAGCCACACUGGCACUGCGACACGGGCCAGACUCCUACGGGAGGCAGCAGUGGGGAAUAUUGGACAAUGGGCGCAAGCCUGAUCCAGCCAUGCCGCGUGAGUGAUGAAGGCCCUAGGGUUGUAAAGCUCUUUCGCCAGGGACGAUAAUGACGGUACCUGGAUAAGAAGCCCGGCUAACUUCGUGCCAGCAGCCGCCGUAAC